AGGACUCCCACUGUCAGAUACAUUCAAUAUCUAAAGCAUACAGAACAGAUAGUGUGUGGAAGAUGCUGUCACUGCAUUACUGGCUCAUGUUUCCUUUGUUUCUGAUCACACUAACAGGUGUCAGCUGUGAUCAGCUCACUGCAGUCAAGGAUGAAGAGUCCACUUUACAAGGAAACACUCUCACUCUGUCCUACACAUUAUCCAGAGAUAUUAGAAUAGAUGAUAAUUUCUUCUGGUAUCGACAAUAUCCAGGAAAACCACCAGAGUUCCUGAUCUACAUAUCAGGGACGAACAAUUCAAGACCGUCAGAGUUUCUAAAAUCAGCUGCAAGAUUCUCCACAAAACUGUCUGGAAAAAACCAUCUGGACCUUCAGAUCUCCUCUGCUGCAGUGACAGACUCUGCUGUGUACUACUGUGCUCUGCAGCCCACAGUGACAGGAAACACCAAAACUCUGUACAAAAACCUUUGGAGCAAAGACAACAGAAUACUCCACAACAUCCACUAGAGGGAGCCACACACUGUUAAACCACUGUAGCUAUAAUUCACUUCUUAAAGGAGAGGUUGUUCAUAUAAAUGAAUCAUCCACCAUCGUUGUCCUCGCUCUUCACUGCAGUUUCUAAAAAACUUCCUCAAAAUGAUCAGAUGUGCAGAUCACAGCCUGAUGUUAGCAGACCUGUUAGUGACACUUUAAAUAUCAAAGCAGGACGUUUAAUCUUCAUCCAUCAUUUUUUGCUUCCCAGAUAUUUUAUUCCCACAGAUGUUUCAUGAAUAUAAGAAGAUCGGCUUGUUAGAGCCCAAAUGUGGUAAAAAAUACAUAAUGCAGUGGUAUGGUUUCUUCCUUAUAUAUGUUCAACCCAUAGCAGAGAUGAUCACUGUCACCUUGGUCUGUCCUGCGUCUGAGCAGUUUUUAGUUCAUUUAGAAAACAAGAUUUGUGAAAUGAUUAUUUCCUGAUGAUCGUUUGUAAAUCUGAAACAGUUUCUCUAAAAACAAACAGAAACCAAGCUGCUUUCCUUUGAUGUGUUUUGACUUGUUUUCAAGAUUUGAAAUCAGACAUAAACAAAUAAAUCAUACGUCUGUAGGUGAAUAUGAAUAUUCUAAGAUGGUGAUUUCUGGAUGUGUUCCUGAGCUCAUACUCUGAUUUUAAUGCUGUCUGAAGAUCACAGACGUUCAAAUAAAUUUCUCCAGAUUCUCUGAAUCAUUUGAUGAUAUCAUCUUCUGUAGAUGAUGAGAUAUUCACAGAGAGGAACAUUAAUCACUUUGUAGAUGCUCUUUUCAGCUGAUUGGUGAACCUCAGAGAAACUCUAAGAUUCUUUUUAUACUCGAUCAUGUGACUGACCAGCUGACAGUUAGCCUCAUUAGCUGCUGCAUGUUCCUGUCAGCUGUUUGUUUUUAGCACCACUUACUUUGUUGAGCUGUCCUGUUGGGAUGUUGU